rnacentral:lncRNA from 1 species
CGAAUUUUAAUCUUGGUAAUGAGAAUUUACUUUGAUAUUAAAGGUAAAUACUGACCUGAACUGAAUUGAUAAGAAUGAUCUCACAAAGGCAGAACAGGAUUUGUUACAUGUCUAUUCAUGACUUAUGUUUGGUUUGCCACUAUGAGCAGACCCCCCUCCACCAUGGGUGGCAAUUCUUGGAGGAAUCAUCGGGAUCAUUGUGCUCAUGGUUGUAUGUGUUUGCAUCCUGAAGUGUGUGAGGCGGUCAAAGUCGACGGAUUCAAUUCAACAACAGAAUCAGAGUCAAACAGGUGACGAGCUGACGACUGAAGAGCCAGCAAGGAUGAGAGAAGCAGAGGACGAAAACAUCCAUUAUGGAGAGAUUGACUUCUCCAUGCACAGACCUAAAACUUCCUCUGAUUUGCCGCGGGACAGUGGUCAGCAGCAGGAGAUACUGUAUGCACAGGUCAAAGUGUCGAGUACAACAACCAGCUCAACACAGGUUUCUGAUGGCCCAGAGGAUCUCUACGCUCAAGUGAAGAAAAAAUGAGAGUUGUUGGGUUCGUGGAAAGAGAUCACAUUUGAAUGGGAUUCAUACUAAAUGUACCUUUAUUUUUCAGUUAUUGUUAAUGUAGAAAAAGAUCAUGAAGCAUGGACAGGAAAAUGACACAAUGUCUUUUUGUCACUUAUCGACAUGUCCAUAUGUGGGUUCUGACCUCACACAGCUGUUACUAUGGGAUUUAUACAUGUCUGAUAUGUGCAAAUAAAAGCCCAAAGUCUCAGGAACAAGACUCUUAAUGACACCAGAAUUAUUUCUAUACACACAUUAACAAUGCAGUGUGGUU